AAAAGAUAACAUGUCAUGGUGUAAAUAUCUACAGGCUGCAUACAGUACAGAGCAUUUGAUGGUGUGUGUGUGUGUGUGUGUGUGUGUGUGUGUG